rnacentral:rRNA from 1 species
AUUGAACGCUGGCGGCAUGCUUUACACAUGCAAGUCGAACGGUAACAGGGUGCUUGCACCGCUGACGAGUGGCGAACGGGUGAGUAAUGCGUCGGAACGUGCCGAGUAGUGGGGGAUAACGCAGCGAAAGUUGUGCUAAUACCGCAUACGUACUGAGGUAGAAAGUGGGGGACCUUCGGGCCUCGCGCUAUUCGAGCGGCCGACGUCUGAUUAGCUAGUAGGUGAGGUAAAGGCUCACCUAGGCGACGAUCAGUAGCGGGUCUGAGAGGAUGAUCCGCCACACUGGGACUGAGACACGGCCCGGACUCCUACGGGAGGCAGCAGUGGGGAAUUUUGGACAAUGGGCGAAAGCCUGAUCCAGCCAUGCCGCGUGUCUGAAGAAGGCCUUCGGGUUGUAAAGGACUUUUGUCGGGGAGGAAAUCCCCAGCGUUAAUACCGCUGGGGGAUGACAGUACCUGAAGAAUAAGCACCGGCUAACUACGUGCCAGCAGCCGCGGUAAUAC